UCGAAACCUGCCCAGCAGAGCGACCCGUGAACACGUUCAACCUCGUGGGUGCGGGGGCGUUGCCCGGUGCCUCGUGCGCCGGGUCGCCCCCCUCCCAGGCCGGGGGGCCUCCCACUCGUGGGCUGUUCCCCCGGCUAAACAACGAACCCCGGCGCGUAAAUGCGUCAAGGAAUAUAAACCUUAUGUGUGUGCUCUCCYCUCGCCCGGUCAGCCGGGCGUUGGAGCGGCGCCAUGUCUUAACAAUAAACGACUCUCGGCAACGGAUAUCUCGGCUCUCGCAUCGAUGAAGAACGUAGCGAAAUGCGAUACUUGGUGUGAAUUGCAGAAUCCCGUGAACCAUCGAGUUUUUGAACGCAAGUUGCGCCCGAAGCUUCUGCUGAGGGCACGUCUGCCUGGGCGUCACGCAUCGCGUCUCCCCCAAAAUCCACCCUUGGUGGAGGGGAAGGAGGAUGGUCUCCCGCGACUCACCGGUCGCGGCUGGCCUAAAAUCGGAGCCCUCGGCAUCGGGAUGCCGCGGCGAUAGGUGGUGAACAAGGCCUCGGCCGAGCAAGCAACCCGUCGCGCAUGCCGUGCCAGCGUGGGCUCGAAGGACCCUUUGUUGUUGCCUCACGAGGCAACCAAACCGUUGCGACCC
rnacentral:rRNA from 1 species